AUAGUAUCCAUUUUACUGUGUUAAGCCACACAGUUUGUUAGCAGUCAAUAACACUGCUUUGGUGAUCACUAAACUUUAAAAUGUAGAGAAGCAAAGGCUAUUUUGCACAUCACUGUAUUUAUACACCACCUCUGCUGAUUGGGAAUUUUGUAAUUUCCAGAAUUUUAUGAAUGAAGAAAUGACCGCAUUGACCAAAGGAGGAUUUUGCAACUGAUGUAAUGUAAUGUGACAUGGAUUUUUAAGCAUUAAAAAUAAAAAAAUGAAGUUUAUAAGUUAAUUAUACUAAUAGGGGGCAAAUUAUCUUCUGCCUUGACUUCACUGGCUUUGAUUCAACAAGGGGUGAGGAUAUAAUCUUGCCAUUUAAAAUUCACAGUGGAAACCAAAGGAAAGGAGGAAAAAGAAAGGAAAAAAAAGCCUGAUAACAACAACAACAAAACUAAACCAUAACAAAGAGAAACUAACAAAAACCACACAAACCCCAAACUGCCCAACCAACCAAUACCAACACAAAACCUCUACAAGCAUCAACCAGCCACAAUGUAUUAGGUGUGUGGAUCUAGGGGAAAAAAAAAAGUAAGCAUUCUCAGCUUCCUAUUUAAGUUAAAAAAAAUUACUCUUAAAUCAGAAAUGUUAUUAUAACUGGCUUAAUUUACCUGGAACAAUCCAUAACACAACAGAUUUUUUACUUCUGUUUGAAAACUUGUAAGAAAUCCAUAUUUUGCAAAUCUGACUAUCUUUACAUGAGAGGUGUACAGAAAAGGAAGCAGCAGAUAAAGUUUCUCAACCACUACCUAUAAUUUAUGAUGUAAUAUGCUCAACUGCAGGAUUUGUUCAAGUGAAUAUAUGAUAUUGGCUUGUAAGCAUGACUAGCUAUCUUGUUUGCUCUGCCGUCAGAAACUGAAAGAUAAAUAUUUUCAGAGAAAGAAAAACUCAUAUUUAGUUCUUUGUAAUGUGAAUUUUUGUUGCAUCAAAUUUCUAUCAAGAUCAUAGCAAUGAAUUUCAAAUAUGGACUCCAGAGUACGGAGUAAGCUAAUUUAAGAAAAAAUCCUCAGGAUGUGUACUUCCUUCCUAAACUAAAUAAAACUCCCCCUUCCCCCAAAACUAAACCUCUAGCAAGUGAUUUGGAAAGUGACUCCAGAAAUACAUUUUUCAACUCAUUGAUUUCAGCUGAACUAAAAGUGCCAUAUUUUCUUAGAAAAUUGUAAAGGGUAUUUAUCUGUUACUGUCACACUUUAAUGAACUACUCGGUGCUUAAGGAGAAAAACCCACAACACAACACAAGGGAAAGUCUGAUGUUUACAUCAGUAGAAAUGUCUUUUUCAUUGGAAGGGUGCAAUUAUUAUUAUGUAAGACAAAUCAUAAAAUCCUCGAUUUUUCUACCUUAUCAGUUUCAUAAAAUCAUGUUCCCUAAGGAUGUCAUUGAUUAGUUGCACAUGUUCUUUCAGUGACAUCUGAAAUACUUAAUUGUCGGUUAUCUUUUCUCCUUCAGUAAGUAAAAUAUAGUCACAAAAUUGCAAAGGGACUUGUUCUGUCUUAACCUUAGCUAGAUGCCAUCAUGCAGUGGAAAACAGUGCUAAAAUAUCACAGGAUAAUGCUCUCCAACAAGGGAGACAUAUAAACAGCAUAAUGAUUUCCCAUGAGUUUCCUUUUUAGAAAAUUGUCACUAAAGCCAGGGUAAAUGGUGACAUAUCUUCACAGAGGACACUGUGAAAUCGAACACUGGCAUUCUAGUUAGGCCCAAACCUACUCAUCAGCCAAUUAUAACAGUAACUGAACAUCUUGCUGAAAAUCUGAACAAGAUCACUUCGCUAACCUUCAGAGAUCAUGCCAAAGAAAUGCAUCAUUUUCUAUUAUUAUUAUUGUUGUUGUUGUUGCUGGUUUUAAUGAAGAAAGACUUAAAAAUAAAUUUCUUACAGUCAUCUAUCACACUUUCUUGAGUUUGCUGGAAGAACAGUUGGAAAGGGAGAAAAGAGAGUGGGAGCUGAGUUACAGGGUUUUUACAGACUUUUCUAUUCAAUCGGGUUUAGUUUGAAAGGCUGUACUGUUAGGGUGAAAAAGUUCAUGACAGUUUUUCCUCUCUUCACAGGGAAAGAUGCUUCACAAUACCUAAUUCAGUGGUGCAGCUAAAAUGGGGGAAAAGAAAAUCAAUACAUUCCAGCUACAUCAGAUACUUCCAUGGAUACCCUUCUUCUAUGUUGAUCCUUGUGCAUCAGGGAGAAGGCUGCAUGGGAAAAAGAAGCGAAACCCUGCAACAGAUCUGACCAGCUCCAUGAGGAAUCUCCCACAGCUCUAACUCAUUUUGCUGGCUUUGCUCAGAACAAGGGAAGAGACAGAUGUUUGGUACUUGCUUCUCAUGGAUUCAAUCUGCAUCAGGAAUUAAUGUCAUCAGAAGUGUCAGAACUGGACAAAGAAAUUGCCUUCCUCUGCAAACACAGAAAUCCUGCUUUUUGUUCACACAGGACUUCAAUGUUUUUCUUGUAAAAAACCCACAAUCCCAAAACAACCCUCAUAACCCCCCCCACCCUUCCUUUUUUCACUCCUGCCACCCUGGCAAAAAAACUUCACCUCUCUUUCAGAGAAAUGAGCAUGCCUUGUUACAUGCUGCUCUGUAACUAUAGGAGCAAAUCAAUAGCAGCUGAAUGCCAUCUGCUUCGGGCAGCAGAACAGCACCAAAAGUGUGAGCAAUGCAUCUUCCCUUAUUGAAAGGUUAUUUUAUGCAAGUAAACAAUUCAUCGUCUUCUUGCACGCUUGAUGCUCAUUUACCACUUUUGAUCAAUAAAAUAUGCAAAACAACAAAAAAAUUGAAUCCUAAGAGUAGUUCUGAUGCCAGUGUGAUAGGUAAUCAAUACCAGGUCUCUGUUCAGUAAGGCAGCCAGUAGGGUAACUCCUUUAUUGUAUGAACCCAUGAGAAAGUGUGGAAAUGUGUCUUGUUACCUAUAAAAUGCAAUAAGAGAGUGAAAAACACAACUUCUAUCCUGAAAAUUAAAAAAAAAAAAAAAAAAAGGAAAGGGGAGCCACUAUUUUAGUUGUGUUUUCCCCCUAACUAUACAAAGGUUACUAAUGUCAACUUGCUUGAUCAUUUCUUGCAAAGAAUCAGCUGUUAUGGUGUUGAUAAAGCUCCACUAUCAUUAACACAGAUAUCUGGUUAAAUUGUAGUCAUUACAAUUGGACAACAAUCCCUCUUCCUUCUGAAGCUGCUCUACCUUAUUAAGCCUCAGUUUUCAAUGUAUUUAUGGUUCAGGUGAACUCAGUUUUUCUGUUAAAAACAAACUGCUAUGGGAAUUUCCUCUGCACAGUGUUUCUUUUAGUCAGACCACAAACUGCCUUAUUACAUUAAGCCUCUUGACAAUUGAUUCAAGUGGAAUACUUCUCUCCCAACAAAGAAAACAACAUCAUUUUUACAGAUACUGCAGAACAAAACCUCCAAUUUAAACGGUUUCCUAAAAUAACAUGAAAUACUUGAAAUAACAGCUGCUACCCACAAAUGCUCUCUAGUCUAGUGUACCAGAUAUCUUAAUAUUAAAAAAAAAUUAAAAUUAGUACUCUCUCAUUUGAACAGCAAUUUUGCAGAUUGUAUCACAAAGCCACAAGUUAAGCUGCACACCCUAUAUUCUGAUCUGCACUUCAAACCAAAUUCUCUUCAAUCUUCUUUCCUGCAUGAUUCUAGAAACGCAGUUAUUUGCGUAUGUGACCUUUACAUACAUUUGGUUAUUUGAACUGCAAAAAAGCUUGACAUUCUUCUGUAGAAGAGUAUCUUAUGCAGAGCUUCCAUUUAAGAGAACUAAUCAGUACAAUUAAAAAAAAAAACAAAAACAAACAACAAAACACCAACCAAAAAGCCUUGAUUUUUAAAAAUAUUUGCAAUGCAAAGACAUCUUCCAAUGCACAAGCUUUGAGAAAAGUUCUAUUAAAGUAAAAUCAAGAAAUACUGAAUACCCAAUUUCACCAUAACAUUAUAACCAAACAGUUAUAGUCGUGUAGUCAAGCAGCAGUGCUUCUACACAGGAAAGGCAAAAAAUUCUCUCCUUAGCAGCUCAGUUCUCAUUAUCAUCACAAAAAGAAGGCAACUGGAAGAACAUAUCUGUAAAUCAGCAUGUAUAGAAUUUUUAAGGUAAUUAUUGGUAAUAAAAAAACCCCAUAUUUGCAUAUUUGUGGAAAAAGUCCUUCUGAACAAUCAAUGAAACUUACUGAAUGUAAGAUAGAUUUGGGUUUAGGAUCUAUUUAAAUUUGUGAAUUAGAGGCAGGUUUAUAAGCAACAGUUCAAAAUUUUUCUUUUAUUACCUUGUAAGACCCCAAACAUUUAUAGUGGUAACAAGCAACUGCCCCUUCUGUAUAAUGUAGCUUGGAUCAUGUUCCUCCUGCAUACCUUCAAAAAUGCGUAUGAGUUUACAUGAACUUCAAUAUAUGGCUUGCACACAUUUAUAGAAGCCAAAACAACUUUGAUCAAAUUAAUAAUACAGAACAUAGUAGUGAAAGUGCAGUAGCUUGGAGUCAAUGACCCAACUAGCAGCAAGGGUAUAAUUUAAAGUCAGAAAUUUCCAGUGCAUGCACCGUUAGCCACAGUGAACCUGUUACUGCUCUAAAGGGAAUUGUUUGCCUCUUAUUAGAUUUUCUACAGCACAGCCAUAAGUGAUAAAUGUACUGCUGUACUCACUGUCAAGUUAAUCAAUGCUGCCAAAGUUUUGUUGACCUAACAGUAAUCCAUAAACUGAGCGGCAUUUUCUCUAUCCCUAUGACAUCUCGGUCCUCAGUGGGGAUACAAAUCUUACAACAGCUUCUCAAAAAGAAAAAAAACAAAAACAAAGCAAAGAAGGGGGAAAAAGAUAUUUUCAAAAUUCUGUCUUUAAAUUAGCAGACUGUGAGAAUGCCUUGCUUCUCUGACAAAUUGCUUAAAAAUGAUGGCCAUACAAUGGCAUCAGUUUGAUGGCUAAAAUACUAGCAAAUGGAUUACUUCAUGGAGGAUAGAGCCUUGACUACUAAAGAGAAGGUAAAAAACAGCUUCAUGAGUCUUUCAAGGAAACAGUUGUGAACACGAUUUAAAUGUAACUAUAGAUUAGUGCACUGGUUGGAACAGAACACAUUGCAGCAAUUCUGAAGACAGUAAUGUGAAAACAAUAAUAAAAAAUCACCACCAAUAAAACUUGUCUAUUGCUGUGUCUAGCUGUAAUUCACAGUCCAUGUGAGGCAUCACCACUAGAAAGAAGAAAAAGUCAGGAAACAAUCCCUGGUAGAACAAGCUGCUUUAUAACAAACUGCUGCCAUGCUCUCACAAGCAAUUAUAGACAUAUGAAAUAUGAAUUGCCAUUGAUUUUUCUUCUAGAGGUCACUCUGCUCCAUGUUUUACGCAGUCUAGGCAUUUAUUUGGGUGGCAAACUGACAAGUUUUUACAGAAUUAACAGACCAAUGUAAUCCUUUCUCAAUCACAAGUACUUCAUUAUGGUUCUAUUCCUUGACACUUGUCCCUCCCAAAACUCACCAGCAAGGGAGUCCUUCAUAAAGGUGAGGAACAAUGCAAUUACUUGUGAAAAGAGACCAUCCUAACCUAGUGAAUGCCUAUUUACCUUUUCUGUGCUGAUGGCACACAAGCAGCAUCAGCUGGAAGGCUGCGCUUGUCACACCAUAGCAAUACUGUGGACAAUAUUCUGAUUUGGCUAAAAACUCUCCACAUUCUUGUUCUUGAAAUAGAGAUGACUUCUCCAAAACAGAGAAAAAAUACUGUAAUUUAGCUUGCUAACAGAAGCAAAAGAGUUACCUGUAUUUCUGGUAAAGAUUAUAAUAACAUUAGAAUGCUGUAAGAAUGCCAAGAUGUUCUCUAUAAAUCCUGUAUUUUUGAUGGUAUAUUCUCAUUUAGCAAUUACUUGAUGUUUCUCACUCAGCAACAAGAGAAUACUUAAUUAUGGUCAGUAAACUCCACAAAGGAGGUUGAAAUUGAGUAUCACAGAUUAAUGAAUCAUGUAUUCUGGCAUUUUAGACAGCAAUCUUUCUUUUUUCUAUUACUCGCUUUGGAACAAAGAUUUGGUCUCCAUGUUUCCCACACAAAAAGAAUUCAUUAAAAAGUGCUGUGUUGCACCUCUUCUUCCCAGUGGUCAUUCUUUCUCUGAAGGCUCCUGUUUGCUUUAUAAGAAAGCUGUUGCAUCUGAAGCUAGGUAAAAGUGUUAUUUAAGUCAAGUUUCUUGGUGCUUCAAUGAAAAGGCAACACAGUACUAUAUAAAAUGGUACAGAGAGAUUAAUCAGACUCUAACCUCCACAAUGAGGAAAUAAAAACGAGUAUGCUACCAGAUGUGGAUGUAGUGCAACAGUUCAGAAAGGAUUUAUAGCAGAACUGAGAUCAACAAAACACCUAUCUUUGUCUGUUUACUGGCCAAAGAGAUGAUCUUCAAUACAUGAAUAAAGUCAAAGGGACAAAAUUAAAUAUCAGGGGAAAAAAGAACAGAACAAAAAAAGGCUGGAAGAUGGAGAGCUAAAAGAAUCUGAAGAAUGUGCAAGAAUCUGCUAUAGAUAGAAAAAAAGAUAACAUGGUGGUCAUAACUGGUAAAUAUGCUACAGGGAAAAUAAUUUACAUGUCUUCAUACACAUAGUAACAAACCCAUCAGUCUUGUCUGACUUCCUUGGUGAGCAUCACUGCUCUGUAAAACUAGGCAAAAAUAAUUAAUGAACUAAAGAAAUUUUGAUUAUUUUUGGAAUUUUCUGCCACUUAAAAGUUGGGUUGAGAUGUCAAAUCUGGCUGCUGGACCUCUUCACUGAAAUGUCUAUACUUUUACAUUAAUAAUGCAUUUCCUGAGCUUCUGCACUGAAAUCAGUUAUCAAGAGCCUCCUACAACAUUAGAGGGCAAAUUUGUCACAAAACCCACUAAUCUUUAUUGCCAAUACUACGAAAAGACCCCAAUAUUCUGUGGUAACUUACUCUUGCAGUACCUGUUCUUGUAAUUCCAGCACUUAAAACUGGAUAACUAAUUCAGGUCACAUAAUUAAACUUGUCUGAAUUUGAUUAAUUAUAAAAAAAAAAUUCCCCUGUAAAGCAGGUGAGCACUACUGCAUGGCAUUUAAAUACAACAUCAUUACAGAAACACAAAUUGCUUCAUAACUGUGAAAUUAUACAACUGCUGCUGUUCAAAACUAUUAGCACAUAUCACUGCUUGACCUUGACUGAGCCCAAAUACGCAGAGAAAUGUCUGAUGGGAUAAUGUGGAGAUGGCUGCUUAAAUGCUGCUGGUUGCAAGACUGUAGACUGAAUUCUGUGCAUGGUCUUUGUUCCUCCAUACUCUGCUGUGGCUUUGUGAAUGCUUUUCUUUAUCAGUGUUACAUCAGUUCCCACUGAACUAUGUGUGAGAGCUGGAUCCCACAGUGAAAGUGCACUUGAAGAUCUGGAUGCCUCAACAUCUGAAGAAACUAAGAGAGCUUUCAGCUGUCUAAUUUCCUCAUGAUUUUUGGGAGAUAAUCUGAGUAUUUUUCAGAAGCCAGCAUUAAGGGGAAGCUGCUCAGAAGACCAUGGUUACACAGAAUACAACUGUGAUCGUAUUCAGGUGUGACUUGCCAGCAGGAUACCAAGAAAAAUACUGUAAAUUACCUGUAUUCAAAGUCCUAUGUCUGUUAAAGCAUACACAUAACUGGAAUGACAUUUUCUCAGAAGGUUUUAUUGGGAAAGUUAUCAUUGACCUUUUCAUUUUCCUAGAAUAGAUGUACCCAGUGGGUUGCAACAGCAUAAGAAAUAAGAUUUUCAUCCAACCAUUUUAAAACUGUAAUUCUGCAAAAGUAGACUACAGCCACAUUGCUGCUGUAAAGGCCAGAGAUGCACCACACAAACUGAUGCUCUAAGAGAGCAGUUUUAAAAGUUGCGUCAGCUGGUAUAUUUGUGCUGUCAAUUUACGGGAAUGAUGACAACACACAGAGCAGCAAUACAACUUACCUAGCUAAGACAGUUCUAUAAAAACUGAAGAAAUUAGUCUAUUUUAUGUGCUGCCUUCUUGAUGGAGUACAUUACUCCAAAGCAGAGUAUACAAAGCAAUUAUCAACAAGCAAACUCCUAAAACAUUUUUCAACCUAUCUGUACUCGGAGCCUGUAAGUUUAUUUCAAUAUCUAAGGUGACAGAGAGACUUUCUACUCAUGAUGAUGCUGACACCAUCACCAGGUGCUUUUUCUGUUUUGUCAUUAAGAGAAAUAGCCAGAGGACCCAUAUGCAGAAUGAUGUUUACACCAUGUGGACCAAUGCAAUUUGGCAUGCACAGGCAGCUGGAAGAAAGGAACACCCAUCCAAAAGUUCGAGAUAUAUAGGAACACAAACCUGUACUAAAAGGGAAUCAAAAUAUAGUGCAUAGGCUAAGUCUCGACCAAAUACAGGGGUUACUGAUUAUUAACAUAAGCAAAGCACACUUGGAGAUUACUGUGUCUACAAAACACAAGUGUUGAAGUAUAUGCAGGGCUUUCUUAUGCUUUAGAUGCAAUUAGAAUAAAUCUUGUGAUGGUUCUGAAUCGCAUGAUUUGUGAUUCUCCCAGGUCUUUUAUUUCUGUAUCACAUAUAAAAUUUUCCUUUGUGCUUAGUGGCUACUCUCAACUCUGUUUUGUUGCAUCAGUGCUUCUUACUGCUUUACGUAAAAUUUGCAUUCAUUGAUAAUGUUGGUUCAGUCUAACUGUUAUACUGAGCUUUGAACUAAUUGCUCUCAAUUAAUCUGUUCCACUCUUUGAUAGCUUAUUUAUCAGAUUGGGAAAGAUAGAUUUAAUGGUGCUUGCUGGAAACAAGUUCUUUAAUUGGAAAUACCUGAGUGCUUAGCUCACUUCGUGCUCUGGCAAUUAAGGACAAUUUGGAAAAGCGUUUUUCCCCCUACUUGAUUAGAUAUCCAAAGAAGUAGACAAAACAAAUGACAACACCACCUAGCAAUAUUGGUUAAAAUAAAAGCUCAGCAGCCAAAUUACUUACUAUGAGAAAUGUGAACCAUCCCCAUCAAUUCCAAUGCUGUGUUACAUUCAUUUUGCUGUAUCUUUGCCUCCCAAGUACGUAAAUGGCAAAAUUUCUUUCAAAAUGCAUAGCUCUAUGCCUGCCUCUAUACAAUUAUCCCUUUCCACAAAUAAGCCAAAUCAACAGAAGAAAUUAUUUUUCUUGAUUAAGCUCCUGCAUUUCUCUUGGGAUGAAACAAAACAAACAAUUAAUCUUUCCUUAUUUGUUCUCAGAAGAACCUGCAUCCCUUAAACAAUAACCAGGGUACCUGUGGCAGGCAGUCGGCAGCAAUUAGGCUUGUGCUGAAAACGAAUGGACUAGAGUCAGAAUGCCUAAUCUGCUGAGAGUUUCUACAGGAGGGCAAGGUUAGACCAGGAAAAUUCCCUUGCUGUGGAAACACUGUUAAAAAUUACCACCUGACUUCAGCAUAAUUAACAAGGUUUGGGAAUUUAUAUGAACUGAGUAAUUGAAAAGAAUUAGCAAGAGAUAUAUACAUUAAUCUUUGCCAGUUACGACAUGCCUAAUGAAAUUAAAGGUUCUACUUCUGCUUCAUGCUUUGUUUCUGCAAACUUUUUCCAUCUCUACAGAGGAAAAAGUAUAUUAGAUAAAGACAAUUAUAAUUAUAAGAAAUUACAAAGAAGAAACUGCACCACAAGCCUCUAUUUUUACAUCAAUACUUAAAAAUUUUCUUAUAUAUAACUCACAGUGUUUAUCAUAAGUAACCCUGGAAACUUCCAAUUUGAAUGUCCAUAUUUUCAAAGUCUACAGGAAAAAUCCACAUCAGUUAUAAAUUUAGGCAUGAUUCAAUAACGUGUGUUUGUUUGCAAAUGUACCUUCACAGAAAUCAAGACUAUCUCAGUCAAAAAAUUCUGCAAUGAAUGGGUUUAGUAAAAUGUGCUUUUUUACAUGUAACUAAAUCUAUAUUAUAUUUGGACAACAGAGACCAUAAGCAGGAGGAAAAAAAAAGACAAUCAAUAGUGAUGUGGGUAGACACAGACAAUGUCGGAGAAGAUAACAAGCAUUUGUUAUUCUUCUAAGCUACCCAUGACCAUAGGACCUUCUCCCCUUACUUCACCCUGAAAUCCUUCAACAUCUUUCAGAAAGGAGUCACCUAAGACUGCAUAAAUGCCAAGAAAGGCAUCACACAGAGACACACGGGAAUUAUACCUAAUGCAGGAGCAUUCAAUUUACUACAGAACCAAAGGAGAAGGCUCACUGACUACCUUGCCACAACCUGUCUCAGGAAGACUAUUUGCCUCUUCCUCUGCUCACCUCUCAUAGCUACUGAUAGACCAGCUCUCAUGUUUUGCUUAGCGGUCCUUCUUGCAAAGAAUUCUUCUGUUCCUAUGCUCCUUGCUUUCAACAUCUAAACCAGAAGUUCAAGAAUUACUGCUUAUUUAUUUCAGUAUCUUUCUGGUAACCCCCUGUGAUUUGUUCCACAGCUUGUUGGGUUUUGUUUGCUUGGUUUUUUGGUUGCUUUUUUUUUUUCAGAAUGUUCUAUGUUAAAUGAUACAAACAAUAUUGGACA